rnacentral:rRNA from 1 species
AAGGGAUGCCUUAGUACGGCGAGUGAAGCGGCAAAAGCUCAAAUUUGAAAUCUGGUACCUUCGGUGCCCGAGUUGUAAUUUGGAGAGGGCAACUUUGGGGCCGUUCCUUGUCUAUGUUCCUUGGAACAGGACGUCAUAGAGGGUGAGAAUCCCGUGUGGCGAGGAGUGCGGUUCUUUGUAAAGUGCCUUCGAAGAGUCGAGUUGUUUGGGAAUGCAGCUCUAAGUGGGUGGUAAAUUCCAUCUAAAGCUAAAUAUUGGCGAGAGACCGAUAGCGAACAAGUACAGUGAUGGAAAGAUGAAAAGAACUUUGAAAAGAGAGUGAAAAAGUACGUGAAAUUGUUGAAAGGGAAGGGCAUUUGAUCAGACAUGGUGUUUUGUGCCCUCUGCUCCUUGUGGGUAGGGGAAUCUCGCAUUUCACUGGGCCAGCAUCAGUUUUGGUGGCAGGAUAAAUCCAUAGGAAUGUAGCUUGCCUCGGUAAGUAUUAUAGCCUGUGGGAAUACUGCCAGCUGGGACUGAGGACUGCGACGUAAGUCAAGGAUGCUGGCAUAAUGGUUAUAUGCCGCCCGUCUUGAAACACGGACCA